rnacentral:rRNA from 1 species
UACGUAGGGUGCAAGCGUUGUCCGGAAUUAUUGGGCGUAAAGAGCUCGUAGGCGGUCUGUCGCGUCUGCUGUGAAAACUCGGGGCUUAACCCCGGGCCUGCAGUGGGUACGGGCAGGCUAGAGUGCGGUAGGGGAGACUGGAAUUCCUGGUGUAGCGGUGAAAUGCGCAGAUAUCAGGAGGAACACCGGUGGCGAAGGCGGGUCUCUGGGCCGUAACUGACGCUGAGGAGCGAAAGCGUGGGGAGCGAACAGG